GCAAGAGACGCUCCUCCUUGAGGUACUGAAAGGAGCAGAGACCUUGCCAAAUCUCAACAAUAGGCUGCUUGCUGAGAGCACAAAGACUUAGCGACCAACCAAAUGGUCAUUAGUGCCCUUAUCUCGCACUAAUUUUCUUGCCAUCUUCUGUUCAUUAGUCAUUCAAGUCCUGUUGCUUUUAUCUGCCAGAUACAGUGAGAGGAGAGAAUAUGCAAGAAAUGGCUUUCUUGAAGUGGCAGCCAAACUGGCAGUGGAAAAAAAGAUGAUGGGAAGACUAGAAGAGGAUUGGAGAGGCUAUGAGCCAAGGAAAGAGUCUAUCAAAGAUAAAUCUUUGGUUUAAGGUAGGCAGGAGACAGGCGCCAAGGUUAAAACAUAUUUAGCCAGCCGUUGCAGUCGCCAGUCAUACUUCACAUUUAGAGGAUGAUUCAUGCUGCUGUCUGCAGACUUUCCAGGCUUCCACUCUGGAGAGACUGGAAACUAUACAGGCUGUCGUCGUACCGAUCAUGGCGGUGAGCAGUCCGAUCAUGCAGAUGGAGACGACGAAGCAGGCCCAGCCGUUCCAGUACUCUGUGGGCGGGACAAAGGCGAAAAUAACCUUCCAGAAGACGGUGAGGAAGUGCAUAACGUAGUCGAAACAUGACGGCAGCUUCUCUUCCCCGCACUCCUCGUCGUCAUCAUCCUCGCCUGGGCAGAAGGAAGAAAAAGAAAAAGAGGUUCAGAGGAGGGCGGCAGGGAUUCCCUCAAAGUUCUCACCUGUAGUUCCAAAUGUUUCCAGGCAUGACAUACAGUGAGCUAACUGAGUUCUUAUUGUGUAAAUGCUGAUUCUUUAUUCUUCAACUUUUUUGGUCACCUCUAACUACUGCAUACUUCCAGCUACAAAAAACAUUGAAAUAGGAAAACGUUCGACUCUUUUACACGAUGGGACUUUUUCAACUUCUCUCCCACCAUUUAUACUUUUUGAAAUAUUAAUUAUAAUAAAUAUUAAGCUUUUUAAGUUUCAUUUUACAUUGAAGUCAAUUGAGCAAUCUCCAAAUACUCUUCAGGAUUCUUACUCUUCGAAAUACUACUCCUCCCACAUUCUUUUACCGACAGACGGCAUUCAAACUUUAAACUGUUCAAAAAACAUUUAGCUAUUGGAAAAUGAUUUAACUUCAUGAUAUCUUUCACAGUUUUUGUGUUAUCAGUAUUUAAGUUUAGUGUUUAAUUCAGGUUUGAUUCACAUCUGAGCAUCAUCUUUAAGUUUGAAUUAUAACUGAAUUAGACAUUUUGUGUUAACUUAGUGGCUUGAAGGCUACUUCUAAUAUUUAUAACUAAAAUGGAGGACAAAUUAAUAAAGAAUGUUAACUAGAGCAUAGAGUAUGUAACUAUGCAUUAGCAAAAAACCAUGAUCAUAUUAAAGCCAAAUUGAAAAUGUUAGCUGGGUAAAAUAUCAGCCUUAAGAUUAAUAUACAAGGUUUAUUACAUGUUGUUUUUAGUUUGUAUAUGUGUUAACAAUGUUCAUAAUGUAAUCUGUGGGUCUGCUAGCCUAAUAUAAAAGAUCAAAAGAGAUUUAAACCUUGCAAAUAGUUAAAAAUGAACUGCCAAAAAGUUAGUGAGCUUGCAGAGAACCUAUUUUUUGUGCUAUAAUAUGAAUACAACAAAUGGAAACAUAAAUCUGCCUUCCAUACUAAAAGCCGAUGUUGAACACAUUUCAUCUUUAUUUAAGAUUUAAUAAAUUUAAUCUAAGCCCUGCUUGGAAGAGAAUGGAUAAUAUUUAUCCAUAGCUUACCCGAGACACCUGAAGUGCAAAGUAAUAAAGGACUAUUAAACUCCAGCAGACAUAAAGAUCAUUAGUUUAAAUCUAUAGUGACAGAAAUGUAAAAAUCACACUCAGUUUGACAUAAUUUCUGACCCACUGAGAGGCAAGUGUGUGUGUGUGCGAUGUCAGUACCAAAGUCUAAUCAUGCCUCAGGACAUGGACUACAGCCAGCCACAUGCAGGGGCACACAACAUUAGCAGUCCAUACACUCCUGUGUAGUUGGCUGUUGUAUGGCUCCAUUUAUAAAUGAGUUAAAUGAAUUAAUAAACAAGAGUACCUGCUGCUUCCAUGAAACAUGCUGAUGGGUAAAUCUCAGUAAAAGCCAUGAUGUCUUAUUGAUUUCACCCGGACCACUGACUCAGUGAAUACUAUUAACCUUCUAAGAGCUGGUGAUGCAUUAAAAUGCUCAAAACAAACAAAGGAACAAAAACUGUCUGCACCCUAAACUGAGCUAACAUUGGAGAGUUUCUUUCUACCAUAGCAACUGUUCUCCCCUAACUUUAUAUGAGUUAUUUUUACUGACAUAUCUCAUGCAACAUUAUCCAUCAAAGUUUUCAGAAACGCUUGAUUUUGA